rnacentral:lncRNA from 10 species
GUUUUGCAGAAAUAAACUCUGUUAAAUUUAAUUCUUUUAAAGUUUUUCUUCGAAUGAUUGCACUGGAGUAUAUGAUGGACACUUAAAAUACUCACUCUCAGCCCCAAGAGGAUCCUUGGUGGAGUGUGAGCCAAGCACAGCCCCAACAUCCAGUCACCUCCAGCC